ACUCCUACGGGAGGCAGCAGUGGGGAAUAUUGGACAAUGGGCGCAAGCCUGAUCCAGCCAUGCCGCGUGAGUGAUGAAGGCCCUAGGGUUGUAAAGCUCUUUCACCGGUGAAGAUAAUGACGGUAACCGGAGAAGAAGCCCCGGCUAACUUCGUGCCAGCAGCCGCGGUAAUACGAAGGGGGCUAGCGUUGUUCGGAUUUACUGGGCGUAAAGCGCACGUAGGCGGACUAUUAAGUCAGGGGUGAAAUCCCGGGGCUCAACCCCGGAACUGCCUUUGAUACUGGUAGUCUUGAGUUCGAGAGAGGUGAGUGGAAUUCCGAGUGGAGAGGUGAAAUUCGUAGAUAUUCGGAGGAACACCAGUGGCGAAGGCGGCUCACUGGCUCGAUACUGACGCUGAGGUGCGAAAGCGUGGGGAGCAAACAGGAUUAGAAACCCCAGUAGUCCC
rnacentral:rRNA from 1 species